GUCUACGGCCAUGCUACCCUGAACAAGCCUGAUCCUGUCUGAUCUCGGAAGCUAAGCAGGAUCAGGCCUGGUUAGUACUUCAUGGGAGAUCACCUAGGAAGACCAGGUAUUGUAGGCA
rnacentral:rRNA from 1 species